AUUGAACGCUGGCGGCAGGCCUAACACAUGCAAGUCGAACGGUAACAGGAAGAAGCUUGCUUCUUUGCUGACGAGUGGCGGACGGGUGAGUAAUGUCUGGGAAACUGCCUGAUGGAGGGGGAUAACUACUGGAAACGGUAGCUAAUACCGCAUAACGUCGCAAGACCAAAAAGGGGGACCUUCGGGCCUCUUGCCAUCGGAUGUGCCCAGAUGGGAUUAGCUAGUAGGUGGGGUAACGGCUCACCUAGGCGACGAUCCCUAGCUGGUCUGAGAGGAUGAACAGCCACACUGGAACUGAGACACGGUCCAGACUCCUACGGGAGGCAGCAGUGGGGAAUAUUGCACAAAGGGCGCAAGCCUGAUGCAGCCAUGCCGCGUGUAUGAAGAAGGCCUUCGGGUUGUAAAGUACUUUCAGCGGGGAGGAAGGGAGUAAAGUUAAUACCUUUGCUCAUUGACGUUACCCGCAGAAGAAGCACCGGCUAACUCCGUG
rnacentral:rRNA from 1 species